rnacentral:rRNA from 1 species
UGGGGAAUAUUGGACAAUGGGCGAAAGCCUGAUCCAGCCAUGCCGCGUGUGUGAAGAAGGUCUUCGGAUUGUAAAGCACUUUAAGUUGGGAGGAAGGGCAGUAAGCGAAUACCUUGCUGUUUUGACGUUACCGACAGAAUAAGCACCGGCUAACUCUGUGCCAGCAGCCGCGGUAAUACAGAGGGUGCAAGCGUUAAUCGGAAUUACUGUGCGUAAAGCGCGCGUAGGUGGUUCGUUAAGUUGAAUGUGAAAGCCCCGGGCUCAACCUGGGAACUGCAUCCAAAACUGGCGAGCUAGAGUAGGGCAGAGGGUGGUGGAAUUUCCUGUGUAGCGGUGAAAUGCGUAGAUAUAGGAAGGAACACCAGUGGCGAAGGCGACCACCUGGGCUCAUACUGACACUGAGGUGCGAAAGCGUGGGGAGCAAACAGG